ACAAAAUGUUAAUAUAUUUAUUUUUUGUUUAGCCAACUUACUUAACAAAACAGAACACAUCAUAUUUAAAUUUCAAUAAGUUGUUGAAAGGAUGCUGAUGUUAAAACAAGUCCCCAGUCCUAAAAUAUUUCAUAAUUUAAUUCAUGUAAUUCAGUACAGUAUCAAACAAUAACCAUAUUAUUCAGAGCACACCAUAAAAAACGUUUCAAAACAGUUUCAGAACAGUAUUCAUUUAACAUCAUUAUAAGUGGAAGCGUGUUUUCCUGUUUAGUAUCAGUUUCAAUGUUCACAUGUUCCAUGUGCCAACACACCAUGCAGCCAUACAUGACCCACCAUUGUCAUGGCUUGCAGAUCUAGGUUACCUGUUAUAUUUAUCACUCAACUGACACAAAACACUUACCAGUGACAAAAUGAUCUGAGCAGACACGAUACCGGGACAGAUUACCAGUGUUUACAUCUGCUCUGGACAAUGGUGCCAGCCAAUCCCUUUGAUGCCAAGAAGAAAGUUUUUCAGUUUGAUCUCCCUGCCUUUUUAUAACAGCUGGAAUCCUGAAGAAUGACUUGUUUACGUCGGGCCCUGCUCUGUUGGAGCAGCCAACCGCAGCACAGAAGUUAACCAUACCUGGAGGCUGGUUGGUUUGUGCAAGUUUGAAAAAAUAAUGGUCUGCCUCCAGGAAGAAUUGCUUCACUGCUAGCAACUUUGGUCGAAUAUUGGCUGCAGUUGGACGCAACUCUUACCCUCCCUCACUCUAUUGAUGCCACAGUCAUUGCCUUCAUAAAUGACAACAGUCUGACUGACUACAUCCCAACAUAUGGAGAACGGAUAGCAGCAAAACACUUUUGUUUGAAAAACAAAGGUGAAAAUAAAAGAGAAUCAUAUGUAAAUCUACUGCUUUAAAAGCUAAAGAAAAAAAUGGGUGUUGGGAAUGAGGAUUAUGAAAGUGACCACGAGGAGACUACACCUGCAAAGUGGAACAGAACCGACACAAGAAAACAACAAAUGAGCUGAAAACCCGACCAGGAGAGUUGAGUAGGGGUGGGUUUGUGAAGGUAAACAAAUGGGGAAAUGUAAAGGAGGGGGAACAAGGAUGCUUGAUGUGUCCAAAGAGUCCAAAAAAGCUGAUAUAUUAAAUCUCACCAAGAGUUUGGUUAUACACUGUUUUGUACAGAUAGAUUUCGUGACUGCUGUUCUGCAUGUUGUGACCAAAAUACAAAUGGAAUUGGACAUCAAUACACACAAAUACGAACUGAUUAUUAAUUCUUGCUUUAUUUUAUUUGUAAUCAUGAUGGGUGAGGCAUGAAGACCUAUCUCAUUUCUUUAAAAUUGAGAAAUGUUGAAAAACACGGACAUCUAAAAACAGUUGUAAUUUUCCAAUCUCUUGUCAUUUGUCCAAUAAUUUGGUUUUUAUUCAUUUUAGCAGUUCAAUUAAAGAUUUCAGUCAGAGGUUAUAACAUUCCUGAUAAAAGAAAACUUUCCAAUCAAUCCAUAUUGGAGAAAUCAGAGUUUAAAAAAAUGCAUGUUGUAUCAUCCGUAGAUUGAGCUGUAUUGAUGCCCAAAAUAACUUCAGGAAAGAGAUAGAGCACACACUGAACUCGUUGCCACCCAAUCACAGCCUGUGGUAUCAAUAAAAUUAAAAAAAAAAAAAGGAUUGUGUGCCCAUUCUCAAGAAGUACAAGUCAUGUAAACAUGAUCUCACCAGCACAGCACCACAUUUUGAAAUACUUUGACAUGUUGGAUUUCUGUUCAUCCUUCAUUUUCAUGUCAUAAGUUUUAAUACACCUGUUGCUCCAUUGAGAUAAAUUCCUCUUAUAACAGAUAAACCUCUCUGUGUCAUGAUCCUGCCGCUCCAGCCCAGGCUGUGCGGGUGCCUGCGCGGCUGCGCUAAUUGGAAGGCACACACCUGCGCCUCAU